rnacentral:lncRNA from 1 species
GAAGGUGGGACACACUCGGGCUGCCUGCCUUGCACUGACGAAAUGCACAAAGGGAGAGGAGAGUGGAAGACAAAGCCUGUAAGUCUGUUCCUCGUACAUGCUGGACUCGUUCCCACCUCUGUGCCUGCUGUUCAGCCCUCUUGGAACACCCUUCGCUCUCCCAUCAGCACCCAUUUACCUAAAUUUUAUUCAUUCUUCAAGACUCAUUAAAUCCCAUCUGCUUCAUGAAGGUUUUUCCCUCAAUGAGUUCUCUCCCUCCCCUGGUCUCCUACUGUACCUACAGCAUGUAUUAGAAUUUAAUGUGACGAUAGACUGCACUCCGUGUUCCUUCUUUGCUCCCUGCCUCUGUGUCCCACACAGUGCUGGUCUAUAAUAAGCUUAAAGCAAUGUUUGAUGAUUGACACACUGAGUGGAUACACUGACCCUUAGUUUCCUUUCUGCAGCAGGGAGCAGGAGCUUAGGAGGCCGUGGUGCUGUCUCCCUUGCACAAUUACGUCAAUGAAUGCCUGGCUCUGUAUUCUUCUAUAGGUAAUCUUAAGGAUAGGAAAAUCUUCUCCAUCCCCAUACUUCUUUUAUUUUCUAUUUUUUUUUUUUGUGCAAGCUAAGUUAAAACAAAUAAGGCAUGGGAUGGGCAGACUGCCAGGUGGGUUCACCAAGGAUGAAACUUGACAAAGCAUUUGGGGCCCCACCACCUGAACUUCCUGAUGGUGGGAAGUGUGUAGAUGUUUCUUGGGAUCAGGCUUUCCAUGGAUCACUCUUCAGCCUGUUCUGAGGCCCCUGAAUAAAUGUUGUAGUCACAAUGAGAACUUGAGAGUGCCAGGAGGACCCAGAGCAGGGGUGGGAACCAACUCUGCCACUAAGGUUGUCGAUGGUGGACUGGCUGUGGAAGAUUCCACAGGGCAUUACGCCUUUCAUCUGGUCUUGAGGCUCUGCUGGGGUCAUGGUCCUUUGAUGUGGCCGUGGUAGGGAAGGGCCUCUAAAUGUCUUACAGAUGGAUGCCCCAAUUCUGGCACCCCAGAUAAUGGCAUACAUGAAUGCCCUUGGCAUGAGUGUUUGCUGCUGGGCUGAACACAGUAUGUUAUGCCUUCCUGUUCCCCAGACACAUGGAGCUGCCACAAGAAGUCUUUCAGCUACUGAGCAGCUAGGAUCCCCGGGGCAAGGAUGGCAGAGCAACUUCCCAAGGCUGGCUGGCCGAGACAGAUCGUUUUCCAAUUUCACGGGCUCUGUGGAUGACCGCGGCACCUGCCAGUGCUCCGUGUCCCUGCCAGACAAGGUCUUUCCCGUGGAAAGAGUGGAACGCUUGGAAUUCACAGCUCACAUCCUUUCCGAGAAGUUCGAGAAAGAGCUUUCUAAAGUGAAGGAAUAUGUCCAAUUAAUCAGUGUAUAUGAAAAGAAACUCUUCAACCUAACUGUCCGGAUUGAGAUCAUGGAAAAGGAUACUAUUUCUUACACUGAACUUGACUUUGAGCUGAUCAAGAUGGAAAUAAAGGAGAUGGAGAAACUGAUCAUACAGCUGAAGGAGAGUUUUGUGGGAAGCACACACAUUGUUGACCAGCUGGAAGUGGAGAUAAGGAAUAUGACUCUCCUGGUGGAGAAGCUCGAGACGCUAGAUGCAAACAAUGUCCUUGCCAUUCGCCGAGAAAUCUUGGCUCUGAAGAAGAAGCUGAAGGAAUGUGAGGCCUCGAGAGAUGAAAACCUUCAUGCCACUGUCCCUCCCCCUGCUCCAGGGAGCUGUGGUCACGGUGGUGUAUUGAACAUCAGCAAACCAUCUAUAGUUCAGCUCAACUGGCAAGGGUUUUCCUAUAAGUUUGGUGCCUGGGGUCGGGAUUAUUCUCCCCAGCACCCAGACCAAGGACUGUAUUGGGUGGCACCUUUAAAUACAGAUGCGAGAGUGUUGGAAUACUACAGAAUCUAUAACACACUGGAUGAUUUGCUACUGUAUAAACAUGCACGACAGUCUCGGAUUGCUUAUGGCCAAGGCAGUGGUACAGCUGUUUACAACAACAACAUGUAUGUCAACUGGUACAACACCGGAAACAUUGCCAGAGUUAACCUGACCACCAAUACAGUUGCUGUGACUCAAAAUCUCCCUGGUGCUGCUUAUAAUAACCGUUUUUCAUACGCUAAUGUUGCUUGGCAAGAUAUUGACAUUGCUGUGGAUGAGCAUGGAUUGUGGGUGAUUUAUUCAACUGAAGCCAGUACUGGUAACAUGGUGAUUAGCAAACUCAAUGACACCACACUUCAGGUGCUAAAUACUUGGUCUACCAAGCAGUAUAAACCAUCUGUUUCUAAUGCCUUCAUGGUUUGUGGGGUUCUAUAUGCCACCCGUACUCUGAACACCAGAGCCGAAGAGAUUUUUUACUACUAUGACACAAACACAGAAAAAGAGGGCCAGCUUCAGAUUCCAAUGCAUAAGGUACAGGAAAGAGUGCAGAGCAUUAACUAUCACCCUUUUGAGCAAAAACUUUUCGUUUAUAAUGAUGGUUACCUCCUGACUUAUGAUCUUAUUUUCUUACAAGAACCCCAGAAAACUGUUUAG